rnacentral:rRNA from 1 species
UACGUAGGGGGCAAGCGUUGUCCGGAAUCAUUGGGCGUAAAGCGCGUGUAGGCGGCUCGAUAAGUCUGCUGUGAAAGUCCAAGGCUCAACCUUGGGAUGCCGGUGGAUACUGUCGAGCUCGAGUCCGGAAGAGGAGUGUGGAAUUCCUGGUGUAGCGGUGAAAUGCGCAGAUAUCAGGAAGAACACCCGUGGCGAAGGCGGCUCUCUGGGACGGUACUGACGCUGAGACGCGAAAGCGUGGGGAGCGAACAGG